rnacentral:rRNA from 1 species
UACGGAGGGAGCUAGCGUUGUUCGGAAUUACUGGGCGUAAAGCGCACGUAGGCGGCUUUGUAAGUUAGGGGUGAAAGCCCGGAGCUCAACUCCGGAAUUGCCUUUAAGACUGCAUCGCUUGAAUCCGGGAGAGGGAUGCAGAAUUCCAGGUGUAGCGGUGAAAUGCGUAGAUAUCUGGAGGAACACCGGUGGCGAAGGCGGCAUCCUGGACCGGCAUUGACGCUGAGGCGCGAAAGCCAGGGGAGCAAACGGG